CUACGGGAGGCAGCAGUAGGGAAUUUUCCGCAAUGGACGAAAGUCUGACGGAGCAACGCCGCGUGAGGGAUGAAGGUUUUCGGAUCGUAAACCUCUGUCUUCAGGGACGAUAAUGACGGUACCUGAGGAGGAAGCCACGGCUAACUACGUGCCAGCAGCCGCGGUAAUACGUAGGUGGCAAGCGUUGUCCGGAAUUACUGGGCGUAAAGGGCGUGUAGGCGGCUUUUUAAGUCAGAUGUGAAAUUUAUGGGCUUAACCCAUAAGCUGCAUUUGAAACUGGAGAGCUUGAGGACCGGAGAGGGCAGUGGAAUUCCCAGUGUAGCGGUGAAAUGCGUAGAUAUUGGGAGGAACACCAGUGGCGAAGGCGACUGCCUGGACGGCACCUGACGCUGAGGCGCGAAAGCUAGGGGAGCAAACGGGAUUAGAUACCCCGGUAGA
rnacentral:rRNA from 1 species